UUCAAUUCUGCUGAAAGAAAAUAGGAGACUUCAGAAUUUUAAAUGACAAGAUGGUGAGCAACUGAUUACUUGUUAAAGGACGCCGAAUGUGUGGGACAGAAGGAUGCACCAGGGAAGCAAGCAGAUCCAGAGCUCAAGCAAGACACAGUGAUAGUAGAAACAGUAAAGAAAACAAGGAAAGGUGACCUGCGCCACAUGGUGACACGAGGACAUUGGAUAAUAUUACACAAGUGCUGCACCUCAGCUGCUCCCACUGACAUCUAUUGGAUCAUCGGACACGUAAAAUUACUCUGACACUUGUGUUUGCCAGCAGAGGAGCCCAUUAAAUACAUGACUGGUAUAAAUGAACCUCUUUGCUUGGGUGGGGAAGACAAUGACAGGGAAGAUGACCCUUAUUAAAGUUUUCUAGUAGGAUUCCUAGGCAUGGGCAGGCUCCUAGCUAUAGCAAUGCUGUCUGAACAGUGGUUCAGAGCGUUGGUGACAAAUUCGAAACCUCUGGAAUCACUGGGAUUUGGAUACGCAGAGAACCAAGGUGAGACGUGUGCUGCUGCCUGGGGCACAGUGGCUCAAGGCUUGGGAUUUUGAGGGAACAGAAUCACUCACCGGGGCCUCUGGGGCAGUGCUGUGGGGACAAGGCUCAGGAGCAGUGCAGGACGUGUUUGUUCUUCCUCCAUUCUUGGUGAUUGCAUGGGGAUAUGGUGAAAACAUGGCUUUUACAAUAGCAUUUAAUUAAUUUUUGAGGCAGAGUCCCCUUCUGCCCACAUUUCAGGCUUUUGGUUGGCUCUCUCCAGUCCACCCUCCCCACCACCAUUUUCUGUGCUUUCUCCUUACCUCCUGCACUUCUGCCUUCAACAGGUCUCUGAAAAGCUGGCAGAACCAUGAGAGGGGCCACAAAAGACCUUUGCAAUUUUUCAGCCAAUGACAAUAAUUAUGCUAAAGUUAAAAGUUAAAUGUCAUGUAAGACUGCGUGUAGGGUCUGCGUUGAACCAUAGGCACUCUUUGGUAGCCAUGGACAUGUUAACAUGGACAUGUUAAAAAUGUAUUAGACAAUGGAGCACCUGAGCAUAAAGUUUCUGUUCAACAGAGAGUGAAAUGUUAUAAUCUAAAUAGGUGAUACUGUCUACAUAGCUCUUUUAGAAAAGAAAUUUUUGAAAGUUAGAGGAUGGAUCUCAAGGCUCCUAAAUGCCUUGGCUUGGUGUACCUGCUAUAUGAUGAGUUUCUGUUGGCCUUGACCUUCAAGAUACUUUUUAAAAGUGUUGUUCCUAGAAGGAAAGACAAUUGGAAGGGAUGAAGAAAAAUUUAUUUGAUAAAAUUUAACUUUCUGAUUGGGGGUGAGGAUGCAGAUCUCUGAAGUGAAAACAGAAAGGGCUGGCAGGUUGUUGACAAGGAAAAGUUUAGGAAUGUCUCUUCUUACCCUCCAGGUCUCUGUCCAAGAAGGGUCAUAUGUCAUGUGUCUUGUUCUUGUCUUUUCUGCUUUUUGUGCCAACUUAAAAAAAAAAAAGUCAGAAAACAAAGAAGAUAUAUAGAAGAUAUAUGGAAUUCCAGUGAAUUGUAUUUUGGUGUAAGAUCGGUGUAUGCUGUUGAAAAUUAAAUCUCUGAAGGCUUUGGCAGUUUCAAACUCUGUUGAAGUCAUUGGGAUCUGAAGAUGCUCACAACUUUAUAAUCCUUUUAACAAACAACACCAUAAUAAUAAUAAUAAUAAUUUUCAAAGGACUACCCACCAAAUACUGUAAGUAACAGUAGCAAAACCUUUUCAUUUUGUACAAACACCAGUGCUUCUGGGAGACCAUUCCAUUCUCCAAAUGUAUAGAUGUUUGAGCAAAGGGUUCCCAGAAACAAGUAACAAGAAUAUUGAGACCAUUGCUCACUAACCACGGUUUUUAUUUUGCAAUAGUUAUUGAGAUCUGCAGGGGUUUUCCUGGGCUCAAAACUUGGCUGUUUUUAGUAGCAAUAUUUUCAGUUGUGUCAUAUGAAUUGUUUCAUUUUAUUAGAGCUGAAUGCUGUUAUCUGCCAUUUUGGAAUUGCUAGCUAUAUAUCUUGGAGCAAUGUAUUUGUAUGCUGUACAAAUAGCAAAAACCUAGAGCAAAAUGCUGUGUAAUUUGAAUGUUAGCUGUACCCUUUGUGAGUCUCUCGGGUUUGUAUCACUAUCCAGGGAAUGUAUCUGAGCACCUUUGUUAUUUAGCCUGAUUGAUUGAACAUUAUGCAUCCAGAUGCAUUACUUUCAAAACUUAUUCUUGAAUGUUUAGCUAGAAAUUCUCUCUCAAGAGAUAUAUUUUUUUCAUAUAGACAGUUGCCACUUAAGCCAGUUUUGUGGAAAUGACACAUGGAGAUUUUAAGAUUACCUUCAUGUGUUUUACCGAAACCUAGCCUACAUAGUGUUUUGAGACACGAGUAUGAUCAGAUGCUUUUUCUUGUACAGGUAAAGUAUAUAUGCUUUUUUCCAACAGGUUUGCAUAGCCUUCCAGAAAGAACUACUCUUCUUAAGCAGCAGCAGGCACUGUGAUGCUGGAAAACCACUGUAGUCCAUAUACUGAACCCCAGAACAUCAUGGGACAACACAGCAAGAGGGAAAAGAAGAAAUGACCAAAGAAGUACCAUUGUUGCAGCGAUUCCCAGGGCAGCACAUUCCAUCUCUGUGGCAACGCUUCUUCUUCCUCCGGCAUAUCACGCAUGCAGAUGUUGCUUGAUGAGGACUGUGACAGUACCGCCCAACUUCACAUUCCUUAUCGUUGGUGCAAGGAUAGGCCUGGUGGGUAAAAAGAAAAGUGAAGCAGUGUACAAGCAGAUCAGAAUUGAUGGGACAGUUGCAUGCAACACAUGGCCUGUACAGCUAGAUGAAUACAUUGCACAAUGGAUUUGUCCCAGUCACCUCUUUGGAGAGGGAACGAAGACCCUCUCUGUGCAAGGCAAUGAAAAGACCUAAUGGGAUCUCACAGGACACAAACCUUUGUAACAAUGGAAAUAAGAGAUCUUCGCUCAGAACCACAUAAAU